UACAGAGGUCUCAACCGUUGUUCGGAUUCAUUGGGCGUAAAGGGUGCGUAGGUGGCGCGCUAAGUCAGGUGUGAAAUUUCGGAGCUUAACUCCGAAACUGCAUUUGAUACUGGCGUGCUUGAGGACUGGAGAGGAGACUGGAAUUCACGGUGUAGCAGUGAAAUGCGUAGAGAUCGUGAGGAAGACCAGUGGCGAAGGCGGGUCUCUGGACAGUUCCUGACACUGAGGCACGAAGGCCAGGGGAGCAAACGGG
rnacentral:rRNA from 1 species